CACAUGGAGCUUAGAUCACUCCCCGUUCUCCUUCCUCUCGCCCUUCGCCGUAUCCGCUACUCAUCGCAUUCGGCAAAGUCUUGCGUGGGCGUAUCAAAAAAAAAAAGGAAAGCGAAUGAUUGCCCUCGCCCUGUAACUCAUUUCCUCGCUCGCUAGUCAUCAUCCACUGCCAUUCAUUAGGAGUCACUUGCUAUGGUUUGCUGUCUUUAUCAUCUUUUCUCCCUUGCCCUUUUUUGUUCACGGCGUCGGCGGCUCUCUGCGCAUCAUCUUCGACCUAUUGCGUACGCCCGUUGUGUGGCAGGUGACAGCUUUGCCUCGCUGCUCUCACAAACUUACACGACGUCGCAUGCGGGCACGUCGAAUAUCUCUACGCGUUCACCCUUCCAGGCUGCUCCUCCCCCAUCGUUGGCGCGCACCCACCCUGCGUCGCGGAGCGUACGCAUCUCCUUUCUGCUGCUCUUGUGCCCAUGGCUGGCCGCAACUACGUCAGCCCCGAGGAUGAGCGGGCAUUUGUUGCCAUCCUCGCCAAGGACCCUGAGUGCAACCAGUGCUUCGAGUGCGGCGCCCCCUCCCCGCAGUGGUGCGAUGUCAUGCACGGCACCUUCAUUUGCCUAAACUGCAGCGGGCAGCACCGCGGCCUCGGUGUGCAUCUCUCGUUUGUCCGCAGCUCCACUAUGGACGGCUGGGUAAAGUGGAAGCCGGAAAAGCUGCGUCAGAUGGAGCUGGGCGGCAACCGCCGCGCGCGGCUGUACUUUGAGGCGCACAAAGUCCCCAAGACCCCCUUGAAAGCCCGCUACGAGUCUCUCCCAGCUCUCCGCUACGCAGACAUGCUCGAGUCCGAGGCGCUUGGCAAGCCCUUCAACGAGGCGUCCUGGCAGCCGCCAGCUUGGUACACGCGGCUGAAAGCCGCGGCGAGCCUCGCAGGGCCGUCCCCAACGUCAUCGUACCCGCAGACGGACCCGAACCGCUUCGCCGGUGUUGGCUCGAACGGGCAGCCGCACGUGAUGUCAGGCAGCAGCGGCGGCGACAGUGAGUGGUACUCUGCGCUCUACAGCGGAUGGAGCGCCGUGUCGCAGAAGACAGCCGAACUAGCGCAGCACGCCACAAAAGCAGUUCAGAGCGCCGACGUGGAGGGGAUGCGCAGCAGCUUGGCGCAGAAGUGGGCGGGCGUGUCAGCCACAGUGUCUACCUACGCCGCGGACCUGCAGCAGCGAAUAGCGGAAGGCGGCGGCCGCGACAAAGACGACGGACUUGACCGCAUGCUCCAAAACGCGCGUCAGGCGCAGACGGAGAGCGGCGUAGACAACCGUGCCGCUGGCCAGACUCGGUACGGCCACAUUGAAGGCAGCAGCGGUGACGGGCAAGGCUCUCGCGUCGCGGUGCAAGCGAAGCCGGUCGGUCCCGCGUCACCAGAGUCAUCGCCAGUAUGCCAAGGGCGAGUGCUGUGGCAGAGCGUGUCCGCGAGCUCGCCAGCGGAGAGCGUGACCGCCUCUGUCUCAUCUGGUUGGGGCUCACCCACUCGAGCCAGCCCCAGUACCGCACUUCCGCAAACACAACCGACAUCGAGCCGCCCCGUGAACCCGCUCGGUGGAGGUGGUGCUGGUGGUGGUGUGAGUGCUUCCCCUCCUGCACCGCAGUCGACGAAGGACGAAUGGGCCUGGGAUAACGAGUACUUCUAACGCGCCCCGCGAGUCAUGAAAAGGGACUAGAAGUUUGACCGCGUGUUGCUUGUUGGGGUGGAACGGGCAUACAUAUAUGUGCAUGCACACGUAGUGUUCUCAUGUGUAUGCGUGUGUCUCUCCUCCCCGUCUCUGCGCCGCGCUGCGGUCGUCUCCCUCCGGCGGCGGCUCUCUUAGUUUGCAGCAGAGCGCGGGCUCUACAGCGACGCGGUGCUUGCUUAUAUCAUGUUGCACGUGAAUGGAGGGUUGUGCGCGCACCAGGCGUUGUGUGCGCGUCCCCCUACCUCCAACUCGGUGUAUGUGUAUGCGUGCAUGGCCGGCUCGAUGCGCUUCAUCUCCACUUGGCAUCUCUCUCCCUGUGUACCUGUGGGCAGCGAGUUCUCCUCUCUGUGCGAACCACGGCAGCCCCUUCCCCGUUGCUGUCGCGAAAGCCGCCGUUGCCCUCGUCCGUGUGACACGCAUCCGAAUAGUUUAUUGAGAAAACGACAAACGGAAAGGCACUGGAGAGGUAAAGAGGCACACACUCCUCCUCCUCAAGUGCCACGAGAGAAAAAGAAG
rnacentral:misc_RNA from 1 species